AAGACCUUGCGCUUUUGGAGCGGCCGAUGCCUGAUUAGCUUGUUGGUAAGGUAAAAGCUUACCAAGGCUUCGAUCAGUAGCUGGUCUGAGAGGACGACCAGCCACACUGGGACUGAGACACGGCCCAGACUCCUACGGGAGGCAGCAGUGGGGAAUUUUGGACAAUGGGGGCAACCCUGAUCCAGCCAUGCCGCGUGAGUGAAGAAGGCCUUCGGGUUGUAAAGCUCUUUCAGCCGGAACGAAACGGUUACGGUUAACACCCGUGACUACUGACGGUACCGGAAGAAGAAGCACCGGCUAACUACGUGCCAGCAGCCGCGGUAAUACGUAGGGUGCGAGCGUUAAUCGGAAUUACUGGGCGUAAAGSGUGCGCAGGUGGUUUUGUAAGUCAGAUGUGAAAGCCCCGGGCUCAACCUGGGAACU
rnacentral:rRNA from 1 species